CCUACGGUGGCAGCAGUGGGGAAUAUUGGGCAAUGGGCGCAAGCCUGACCAAGCAACGCCGCGUGAAGGAGGAGGGCUUUCGGGUGGUAAACUUCUUUGGUCAGGGAAGGUUAGAAGACGGUACCUGACGAAUAAGCCACGGCUAACUACGUGCCAGCAGCGGCGGUAAUACGUAGGUGGCAAGCGUUGUCCGGAUUUACUGGGUGUAAAGGGCGUGUAGCCGGGUUGACAAGUCAGAUGUGAAAUCCUGCGGCUUAACCGCAGAACUGCAUUUGAAACUGUUGAUCUUGAGUACUGGAGAGGCAGACGGAAUUCCUAGUGUAGCGGUGAAAUGCGUAGAUAUUAGGAGGAACACCAGUGGCGAAGGCGGUCUGCUGGACAGCAACUGACGGUGAGGCGCGAAAGCGUGGGGAGCAAACAGUAUUAGAUACCCGGGUAGUC
rnacentral:rRNA from 1 species